GACGAACGCUGGCGGCGUGCCUAACACAUGCAAGUCGAACGCGCUCCAUUCGGUAGCAAUACUGAUGAAGAGCGAGUGGCGAACGGGUGAGUAGCACGUGAGCAACCUGCCCCGAAGACUGGGACAACACCGGGAAACCGGUGCUAAUACCGGAUAUCCCUAUCGGACCGCAUGAUCCGAUAAGGAAAUGUUUUUUCGCUUCGGGAGGGGCUCGCGGCCUAUCAGCUUGUUGGUGGGGUAAUGGCCCACCAAGGCAUCGACGGGUAGCUGGUCUGAG
rnacentral:rRNA from 1 species